CUCAAACUGAUAUCUUUGUUUUUCCUUUGCAAAGUAAAGCUCUUCAAAAUGAACUAGCGACUUCAAUCAGUUUAUUUCCCACUACCAGUAAGUCACUUGGAAGAUAAUGGAACACACUUAAGCUGUUUGCACCUUUGCUUGUUUGCUAUGUUCAGCAUUCCUGCCAAAGUGUUCUCAACAAUGAAAAGGGUUAAGCAAUAUUGAAAGAAUAAAAUUGAAGGCUCGGUGCUUUUGGAAGUCCUGGCACUAAAAAAAGCCUGAAGCCAGCAUUUAACCUUUUAGCUUAGUGCCAAAUUUAGUAACAGGUUUAUAAUGUAUCUAAUCUAUAAUGGCUGAUAGUAUAGUUGUUUUAAGGUGCUGCUUUUUUAAGAUGUAGUUGAAAUAUCAUAAGACCUAUUUAUUCUAUGUUAUCACUCUUCUGACUGCAGACACUACUUAAGAGGCUGCCUCCUUCUUACCUGCAUUCUCAGAAACACAGAAUCAUCAAGAUCAGAAGGGACCUCUGCAUACUGUCUGGUCUAGCUGGGGUCUCAAACUGGAAUCAGCUAGAGGAGACUGACUACAACUGUGACAUGUUCUGACAAUCUCCAAGGAAUUUCCUGGAGGGAAAAUGAAGUGCUUCAUGUGUUACCAUUGAGCACCACUGCAAAGAAUCUCUCAGUCUUCAUAACUGAGCAGAUGAGGCUACGUUAACAUCUGUUCCCCAGAUAACAAGCCUUUGUCCAAGGGACUGCUCAGCUAGAUCCUCAGCUUGCUGCAGAGAAGAAAAUGAAAAGUACACAAAUACAGGAAGCUGCUAUGAA